rnacentral:rRNA from 1 species
CCUACGGGAGGCAGCAGUGGGGAAUAUUGGACAAUGGGCGAAAGCCUGAUCCAGCAAUGCCGCGUGAGUGAUGAAGGCCUUCGGGUCGUAAAGCUCUUUUACCAGGGAUGAUAAUGACAGUACCUGGAGAAUAAGCUCCGGCUAACUCCGUGCCAGCAGCCGCGGUAAUACGGAGGGAGCUAGCGUUGUUCGGAAUUACUGGGCGUAAAGAGUACGUAGGCGGUUAUUCAAGUCAGAGGUGAAAGCCCGGGGCUCAACCCCGGAACUGCCUUUGAAACUAGAUAACUAGAGUCUUGGAGAGGUUAGUGGAAUUCCGAGUGUAGAGGUGAAAUUCGUAGAUAUUCGGAAGAACACCAGUGGCGAAGGCGACUAACUGGACAAGUACUGACGCUGAGGUACGAAAGCGUGGGGAGCAAACAGGAUUAGAUACCCUGGUAGUCCACGCCGUAAACGAUGAUAACUAGUUGUUCGGUCACUUGGUGACUGAGUGACGCAGCUAACGCAUUAAGUUAUCCGCCUGGGGAGUACGGUCGCAAGNUUAAAACUCAAAGGAAUUGACGG